rnacentral:rRNA from 1 species
GACGAACGCUGGCGGCGUGCUUAACACAUGCAAGUCGAACGGAAAGGCCCUGCUUUUGUGGGGUGCUCGAGUGGCGAACGGGUGAGUAACACGUGAGUAACCUGCCCUUGACUUUGGGAUAACUUCAGGAAACUGGGGCUAAUACCGGAUAGGAGCUCCUGCUGCAUGGUGGGGGUUGGAAAGUUUCGGCGGUUGGGGAUGGGCUCGCGGCUUAUCAGCUUGUUGGUGGGGUAGUGGCUUACCAAGGCUUUGACGGGUAGCCGGCCUGAGAGGGUGACCGGCCACAUUGGGACUGAGAUACGGCCCAGACUCCUACGGGAGGCAGCAGUGGGGAAUAUUGCACAAUGGGCGGAGGCCUGAUGCAGCAACGCCGCGUGCGGGAUGACGGCCUUCGGGUUGUAAACCGCUUUCGCCUGUGACGAAGCGUGAGUGACGGUAAUGGGUAAAGAAGCACCGGCUAACUACGUG